rnacentral:rRNA from 1 species
CAAGGCGAGCGGCAAGCUAUGUGCCCACACGCAGCCAAGAGCGGCGGACGGGAGAGAAACACGGGGGCGACCCACCAAAAAGGGGGGAACAGCCGAAAGAAAGAGCGGGAAACACCGAAGGCGCAAACAGGAAGAAAGCCGAGAAAGGAAAGGAGCCACGGCCCCGCUUUUAGAUGGGCCCGCCCCCCAUUAGCUAGUUGGUGGAGUAAAAGCCUACCAAGGCGAUGAUGGGUAGCCGGCCUGAGAGGGUGAACGGCCACACUGGGACUGAGAUACCGCCCACACUCCUACGGGAGGCAGCAGCUAAAAAUAUUCCGCAAUGGACGAAAGUCUGACGGAGCGACGCCGCGUGGAUGAUGAAGGCCGGAAGGUUGUAAAAUCCUUUUGUCAACAAAGAAUAAGCGGAGGAGGGAAUGCCUUCGUGAUGACGUUAGUUGACGAAUAAGCCCCGGCUAAUUACGUGCCAGCAGCCGCGGUAACACGUAAGGGGCGAGCGUUGUUCGGAAUUAUUGGGCGUAAAGGGCGCGUAGGCGGUUUUGCCAGCCUGAUGUGAAAGCCUGGGGCUUAACCCUGGAAUUGCAUUGGGAACUGCAAGACUUGAAUCAUGGGAGGGAAAUCAGAAUUCCAGGUGUAGGGGUGAAAUCUGUAGAUAUCUGGAAGAAUACCGGUGGCGAAGGCGGAUUUCUGGCCAAUGAUCGACGCUGAGGCGCGAAAGUGCGGGGAGCAAACAGGAUUAGAUACCCUGGUAGUCCGCACUAUAAACGAUGUACACUAGGUGUUGGGCCGAGUGGCUCAGUGCCGAAGCUAACGUGAUAAGUGUACCGCCUGGGGAGUAUGCCCGCAAGGGUGAAACUCAAAGGAAUUGACGGGGGCCCGCACAAGCGGUGGAGCAUGUGGUUUAAUUCGAUGCUCCGCGAAGAACCUUACCUGGGUUUGACAUAACAGUGGUAGAGAAGUGAAAACGGAUCGACCCUUCGGGGAGCUGUUACAGGUGUUGCAUGCCUGUCGUCAGCUCGUGUCGUGAGAUGUUCGGUUAAGUCCGCUAACGAGCGCAACCCGCGCUGUGUGUUACAAG